rnacentral:rRNA from 1 species
GACCAACGCUGGCGGUAUGCCUAACACAUGCAAGUCGAACGGACAGACCAGGGAAGCUUUUCGGAGUGGAACUGGAAAGUUAGUGGCGGAUGGGUGAGUAACGCGUGGACAACCUACCUUGUAAAGGGGAAUAACCUCGAGAAAUCGAAGCUAAUACCCCAUAAUAACCUUGCUUCGCAUGAAGUAAGGAGGAAAGGCGGCCUUAGCGCUGUCGAUACAAGAUGGGUCCGCGUCUGAUUAGCUAGUUGGUGAGGUAAAGGCUCACCAAGGCGACGAUCAGUAGCCGGCCUGAGAGGGUGAACGGCCACAUUGGGACUGAGACACGGCCCAAACUCCUACGGGAGGCAGCAGUGGGGAAUCUUCCGCAAUGGGCGAAAGCCUGACGGAGCAAUGCCGCGUGAGUGAAGAAGGCCUUCGGGUUGUAAAACUCUGUCCUUAUCGAAGAGAGAGUGUUGUAGUAACUGACAAUACUAGGACGGUAGAUGAGGAGGAAGCCCCGGCUAACUAUGUG